rnacentral:rRNA from 1 species
CGUGGCGUGAGUCGUCUGCUUAAUUGCGAUAACGAGCGAGACUCCGAUUGUUAAAUAGCUGGCAGUUUACUUCGACUGUACAGCUUCUUAACGAGAUUCGCGUCUUCAAGGCGCAAGAAAUGGAGCAAUAACAGGUCUGUGAUGCCCUUAGAUAUUCGGGGCCGCACGCGUGCUACAAUGAUGGUAACAGCGUGAUUGUCCUCGCCCGAGAGGGCUUGGCAAACAGUUGAGAUAUUAUUAUGGCUGGAAUUGAGUGUUGAAAUUUUCUCUCAUGAACGAGGAAUUCCAAGUAAAUGCGCGUCAUCAACGUGCAUUGAAUACGUCCCUGCCCUUUGUAC